rnacentral:rRNA from 1 species
UAGAGGAAGUAAAAGUCGUAACAAGGUUUCCGUAGGUGAACCUGCGGAAGGAUCAUUAUCGAAAUUAUAGGUGAGGGUUGUAGCUGGCCUCUCGGGGCAUGUGCACGCCCGAGCCCUUAAUCCACACACACCUGUGAACCUAUUGUAAGGGCCCUUAAAAAAGGCCUUUACGUCUUAUCAUCAACCCAUCGUAUGUCUCAUAGAAUGUAAAUAUAUGUCCUCGCCUUAAAAAGCGUUGAUAAACUUAUACAACUUUCAACAACGGAUCUCUUGGCUCUCGCAUCGAUGAAGAACGCAGCGAAAUGCGAUAAGUAAUGUGAAUUGCAGAUUUUCAGUGAAUCAUCGAAUCUUUGAACGCACCUUGCGCUCCUUGGUAUUCCGAGGAGCAUGCCUGUUUGAGUGUCAUUAAAWUCUCAACUCCGAUCGAUUUGUUUCGACUUCGGAGCUUGGAUUUGGAGCGUGCUGGCGUCGGUCGGCUCCUCUUAAAUGCAUCAGCGGAAUCUAACGUUUCGGANGUCAGUGUGAUAAUCAUGUUGCGCUGUCUGUCUGAUCCGAAAGCCCGCUCACAAUGGUCUUCGGACAACUUCAUAUCAAAUUUGACCUCAAAUCAGGUAGGACUACCCGCUGAACUUAAGCAUAUCAAUAAGCGGAGGAAAAGAAACUAACAAGGAUUCCCCUAGUAACUGCGAGUGAAGCGGG